rnacentral:lncRNA from 1 species
GCCCCCAAGGACUCAUGCCUGCCACAGAGUGGGCCUCCGUGGCUGUCUGAAACGGCCCGUAGGAAGGGAACACCAAGGCAGAGGGGAGAGAGGACUUGCGUUCCUCUUCCCUUACUCCCUAACUCCCAGCCUUGUAGGGUGUCUACUAUUAAAAGUGAGGGUAUUGAUUGGGAAGGAAUGGGAUUCUAAAAAACGUAAAUGGGGAUUUGUGGGAAGACCCUGAUGAAGCUGGGGACAUCGAGCCUGUAAGUUCAGAUGAAUUUUCUUUACCAGUGGAAGGAUUUUAAUAAUAAAGUGGAUAGGAUGACAUAUUUUGGAUACCAGUUAGCCUCUUUUCUAAGCCAACCUUGUUAUUAACCAAUGGACUCAUGAACAUAUUGGCCAUGUGGCAGGCAUGAAGGUUAUGCAUAGGCUCAGCAACAGGGACUCCACUCAUUGAUGCUGAAGUGGCUAUGGCCACUGCUGAGUGUCCAAUCUGCCAGCAGCAGAGACCAGAACAGAUUCUCAGCCCCCAGCCCCAUAGCAUCAUUCCUGGGGUCAUGAGACAGCUAGGUGGUGGCAGGUUGAUAAUAUUAGAUAGCUUCCAUGAUGGAAGGGGUAAUGUUUUGUCCUUCCUGGAAUAUAUACUUACUCCGGAUAUAGAUUUGCUUUUCUUGAAUGUUUCUGUCAAGACUACCUUUGGUGGACUCACAGAAUGCCUCAACUGUCUUUAGGGCUUUAGCACUUUGGGGCAAAAUCCUGUCUUCAUGUUAUUCCACCAUCAUGUUUUUCCAUACAGCACUGCUUCUGAUCAAGGAACUCACUUAAUAGCUUAAGAAAUGUGGCAAUGGUCUCAUGUUCAGGAACUCACUAGUCUUACCACAUCCCCCACUAUCCUGAAGUAGCCAUCUUGAUAGAAUGGUUGAAUGGCCAUUUGAAGUCUUGGUUACAGGACCAGCUAGGUGAUAAUACCUUGAGGGUUGAGGCAGUGUUCUCCAGAAGACUAUGUUCUGAAUCAGCAUCCAAUAUUUGGUGCUGUUUGUCUGAUAGCCAAAAUUCUUAGGUCCAGAAAUCAAGGUUCAAAAUUGAAGUGACACUACUCAUGACUUCCCCUAGUGUCCCAUUAGCAAAAUGUUUUCUUCCUGCUUCCAUGACUUUAUGCUCUGCUGACCUAGAAGUCUUCAUCCUGGAAAAAGAAAUGUUCCCACCAGAAGACAAAAUCAUGAUUUCAUUAAACAGGAAGUUAAGAGUGCCAUCCACCACCUUUGGGAUCUCCCUUCUGAGUCAACAGGCCAAGAAUUUACUGUGUUGGCUGGCAUGACUGAUCCAGAUUACCAAGGGGACACUGAACUACUACUCCCUAGUGGAGGUAGAGUAUGUCUGGAAUACUUAGAGCAUCUCUUAAUAUUACCAUGUCCUGUGAUUAAAGUCAAUGGAAAACCACAAAAAGCUAAUAUAUUCAGGCCAUCUAAUGGCCCAGACCCUUCAGGAAUGAAGGUUUGGGUCAUCCUACCAGGUAAAGAACCACAAUUGGCUGAGGUGCUUGCUAAAGUCAAAGGGAAUACAGAAUGGAUAGUGGAAGAAGGUAGUUAUAAAUACCAGCUACAAACACAUGACCAGUUACAGAAAAAUGACUCAUGACUGCAAUUGUCACAAGCACUUUCUCCUUACUUUGUUCUGAGUAUGUUUUUAUGCAUAUGUAUGUGUAUCUUUUAUUCUGUCUUAUCUUGUUGCCUUGUAACAUAAGAUGUAUUUAUUUCGUAUUGUAGUAUUUAAAUAUUGUUAAUUUACAUUAUAAAAUUUAAGUUAUAGAAUACCAAGGAGAAGAAUAAACAUCACUCAGGGCUUUACCUCUGCUUCUGGGGAAGGAGUUAGUGCAUUACUGGUAGUACAUAGGAUAGGUGUAUCACGUUCAGUGGCAUUGUGACCUUGUUAUUGUUUUUAUUUGAGGAUUAAUUAUGAUUUGAG